rfam:Helobdella robusta unplaced genomic scaffold HELROscaffold_93, whole genome shotgun sequence.
GUCUACGGCCAUAUCACGUUGAAAACACUGGUUCUCGUCCGAUCACCGAAGUUAAGCAACGUCGAGCCCGGUUAGUACUUGGAUGGGUGACUGCCUUGGAAUACCGGGUGCUGUAGGCA